GACGAACGCUGGCGGCGUGCUUAACACAUGCAAGUCGAACGGAAAGGCCCUGCUUUUGUGGGGUGCUCGAGUGGCGAACGGGUGAGUAACACGUGAGUAACCUGCCCUUGACUUUGGGAUAACUUCAGGAAACUGGGGCUAAUACCGGAUAGGAGCUCCUGCUGCAUGGUGGGGGUUGGAAAGUUUCGGCGGUUGGGGAUGGACUCGCGGCUUAUCAGCUUGUUGGUGGGGUAGUGGCUUACCAAGGCUUUGACGGGUAGCCGGCCUGAGAGGGUGACCGGCCACAUUGGGACUGAGAUACGGCCCAGACUCCUACGGGGGGCAGCAGUGGGGAAUAAUGCACAAUGGGCGGAAGCCUGAUGCAGCAACGCCGCGUGCGGGAUGACGGCCUUCGGGUUGUAAACCGCUUUCGCCUGUGACGAAGCGUGAGUGACGGUAAUGGGUAAAGAAGCACCGGCUAACUACGUG
rnacentral:rRNA from 1 species